AUAUAUUAACCUCGUGAAGGGAUGGUUGCAUCCAAGAAAAUAUUGGUUCCGUUCCUACUAUAGUUGGGGAAUGAAAUGCCCUUAACCCUUUCGCUACUGUAUUUAUUUUGAGAUACUCUGUGUUUCUUUCAAUUACUUGUAAUAUAACAAAAAAUUUACUAAAAUAACUUAGUUAUCAUUCAGCUAGUGAUAGGAACAUAAUUUGUGACUAAGGUUUGGUGGAAGAUGUUGAUUCAAAACUUAUGUAAACAAGACAUUUAUUCUAAAAAGCCAGAGCCAGUUUCAGCCGGGUUGGUAACGAAAGGGUUAAAGCAAUAGGUAUAUAUUAAGCAUAUAGUUUAUAUCCAGUUAAAAGAAGAAAAGAAAAUGGACAUAACAAAAUUAACAAUUAUUUAUUAACAAAUUGGUCGUCUUCGCUUCUUACAAGCGUUUCAAUUAAUACUCAAUAAUUUAAUUAUAAAUUUGUACAUUAAGUUUACAUUUAUAUAGCAUGAGCAUAAUUUCAUCAGAGAAAAAAAUGAUGUACCUUGAGAUGUUAUAUGAGGAUCUGUCAAUUCAUUUCAGCAGACUAACAUAUCAAGGCACUUCUGUUUUCUCUGAGGAAAUUAUGCUCAUGCCACAUAAAUGCAAAUUUAAUGUACUAAUUUGUAAUUAAACUAUUGAGUAUUAAUUGAAAUGGCCGUAAGAAGCAAAGAUGUUAAUUUGCUAAUAAUAAAUAAUUGUUAACUUCCUUAUCUCCAUUUUCUUUUCUUCUUUU
rnacentral:lncRNA from 1 species